GCCCAAGUGGCGAAAUAGGUAGACGCACAGGACUUAAAAUCCUGUGGUUAGUGAUAACCGUGCCGGUUCGAUUCCGGCCUUGGGCACCA
rnacentral:tRNA from 1 species